CAGCCGCCGCGGUAAUACCGGCGGCCCGAGUGGCGGUCACUAUUAUUGGGCUUAAAGCGUCCGUAGCCGGGUUGGGAAGUCCUCCGGGAAAUCUGGCCGCUUAACGGUCAGAAUGCCGGAGGAUACUCCCAGCCUAGGGAGCGGGAGAGGCCGAGGGGAUUCCCGGAGUAGGGGGGAAAUCCUAUAAUCCCGGGAGGACCACCUGUGGCGAAGGCGCUCGGCUGGAACGCGUCCGAUGGUGAGGGACGAAGGCCAGGGGAGCAAACCGGAUUAGAUACCCGGGUAGUCCUGGCUGUAAACGAUGCGGACUUUGUGUCGGACAAGCUAUGAGCUUGUCCGGUGCCGGAGGGAAACCGUUAAGUCCGCCGCCUGGGGAGUACGGCCGCAAGGCUGAAACUUAAAGGAAUUGGCGGG
rnacentral:rRNA from 1 species